rnacentral:rRNA from 1 species
AUUGAACGCUGGCGGCAUGCCUUACACAUGCAAGUCGAACGGCAGCGGGGGAGAAGCUUGCUUUUCCUGCCGGCGAGUGGCGAACGGGUGAGUAAUACAUCGGAACGUGCCCUGUAGUGGGGGAUAACUAGUCGAAAGAUUAGCUAAUACCGCAUACGACCUGAGGGUGAAAGUGGGGGACCGCAAGGCCUCAUGCUAUAGGAGCGGCCGAUGUGUGAUUAGCUAGUUGGUGGGGUAAAGGCCUACCAAGGCGACGAUCAGUAGCUGGUCUGAGAGGACGAUCAGCCACACUGGGACUGAGACACGGCCCAGACUCCUACGGGAGGCAGCAGUGGGGAAUUUUGGACAAUGGGCGAAAGCCUGAUCCAGCAAUGCCGCGUGUGUGAAGAAGGCCUUCGGGUUGUAAAGCACUUUUGUCCGGAAAGAAAUGGCUCUGGUUAAUACCUGGGGUCGAUGACGGUACCGGAAGAAUAAGGACCGGCUAACUACGUGCCAGCAGCCGCGGUAA